GGACUACCAGGGUAUCUAAUCCUGUUUGCUCCCCACGCUUUCGCGCCUCAGUGUCAGUAUGUGUCCAGGGAGCCGCCUUCGCCACUGGUGUUCCUUCCGAUAUCUACGCAUUCCACCGCUACACCGGAAAUUCCACUCCCCUCUACACUACUCAAGCUGUCCAGUAUUAGAUGCAGUUCCCAGGUUAAGCCCGGGGAUUUCACAUCUAACUUAAACAACCACCUACGCGCCCUUUACGCCCAGUCAUUCCGAUUAACGCUUGCACCCUCUGUAUUACCGCGGCUGCUGGCAC
rnacentral:rRNA from 1 species